UCGGGUAUGGUGUAAUGGUUAACAUCAGCGUAAGGGUUAUCGGUCCACAAUUAAGCGAUCCUUAAGCUAAUCCACUACCAGGACUCUCAAACGAGCAAACUCGCUAGCUCCGGGUUCGAUUCCCGGUAUCCGAG